ensembl:lncRNA
AUGAUGGAGCGGGUUAAAAUUGUUUUUACAUUCAUUUAUUUUCAGGCUGUACAAAGUGUCUGUCUCACAACUGACCUGUGGACAUCUGUUGCAAUGGAAUCAUAUAUUUCUGUGACAGCACAUUACAUUUCUGAUGAUUUCUCUCUGCAGUCCAAAUUACUGGAGGUCGAAAGAUCUGAAGGAAGACACACAGCUGAUGCCAUAGCUACACACCUCCGCAGUAUCCUUCUGGAGUGGGGUCUUCAGGACAAAGUUUUUUGUGUAACUGCAGACAACGGAGCAAAUGUGGUUGCAGCAGUAAAAAAAAAUGAACAUGAGACAUCCGCCAUGCUUUGCGCACACUCUCAAUCUUAUUGUAAAAGACAGUCUUGCUGCAGACACUGAACUUGAUGACUUGAGAUCCAAAGUGAGGAGAGUGGUAGGAUUUUUUAGAUCCAGCUGCACAGCAAAGAAGAAGCUAGACAACUUGCAAAAAGACUUGAAAAUGCCCCAACUGCGCCUUCUCCAGGAAGUUGAAACUAGGUGGAAUUCCACUUAUUUAAUGCUAGAGAGGUUUUUUAACCUCCGGGAACCCCUCUCUGCAGCAAUGAGCAACAUUGACCUACCCAUGUUUUUCCCCAGGACUGGACUGCAAUGGCUGAUGCAACUGAGGUGACCAUACUUUGUAUCAUAUUGUACAGAUAGGCUUUGAUUGUGGGGCUUGUUUACAAUAAAACCUUUAUUUAACCUUAAUUUUAAACA